AACAAAAUGGCGGUACCCGACGCUAAGUUUUCCUGUGUUGGGGUAGCGUAGCCUGAAUGGCUUUUUUUCAACACCAUGAUAGAAGCGAUACUCGGCAUCUGACACCAGGCUCAGCGUUGAAUAGUUGUAGAUAGAUUUAGAUCUCUCUAGGCACUACUUGGAUAUGUUGGAAUAGGAAACUUGCCUUACUAAAUCCACCAUACCAACACCUGACCUGUCAUACACACGACAGGAAUUUUGUCGACCCUGUCAUCGGCGCUUGCACGAACAGGGACGAAUGCUUUUGGAAAAAUUAUAAAAGACGAUUUAAGCAGUUGGCAGGAGUACACUGGACAACUUAAGAUUCCCACCUGGACGAGUUUUUGUGGAGGGAGAUCCAUGGGGACACCGAGCAAGCCCACGUGACAAGAAGUAACCUUCUCCUCCACCUGUCCCACCAAUGCCAAUGGCCAAUGGUAGAUCUACCCCAUCCCCUCCUAAGAUGGAAGUCUUUACUAUACCAUGGUCAACACUUUUGGACUUUCGUCAAGGCUGAUAUUGCUGGUGUUUCCCUCAAUCUGAAGAUCUCCUUGACGACACAAUGGGCGUUGUAUGGUCUUUGAGAUCCAAGCCAGUGGCAGAGCUAUGGCAUGAUGAUACCAUGACACCCCCCACAUAUGUAAAGUCGAGAGAAAGUCUGCAAGUUCAAAAGAUAUGUGAAAGUGGCUGGAGACACCCCCGCAACAGAGUUGAGGUGCAGAAAGACCUCCCCAGAAUUCAUCCUUCAACUGUGAGCCAAGUACCUGCGUUGUCUCAAGUGUUACCAGUGAAAAGGGGCUGGGAUCAUUUACACAAGUUUUCCUUGGUUUGUUUUUUAGGCACCUCUCCCUCAGGCUGGACAGUCCUGUAUGUGACUAAGCACAGUUUCAUCAUUAGUUAGGUUGGGUUUUUUUCUCACGCAAUUGUUACAAAUAAGUAUUUUUGUACUUUUGAUGCGUUAACCCUUUCCUGUUUACAUUCAGUGGUGGCUGUUUUGUUAUGUAUGUUCAACUUCAUCUCCACUGUAGCAACCUGGUUUGUUUUACAUUUUUUUCACUUCCUGCCAAGUGAUUCUCCAUGAUGAUACAAAAUUGACCACAGAGACCCUAGGCUGUUUUUUAAACCAAUUUUUCUCAAACUGUGGCGUAUAGUAGGGGAAUGAGAGUACAAUCACCUAUGUUGAUUUAUCCUUCCUGUUUAUUGUUUAGUAAAAAUUCGUAAAUUGAGAAUAAGAACUGAGACUAUUGUUUGGGCUUAAAAAUUUUCCCCAAAGGCAGACUCACUCGAUUCUCAGACGCUGAGAAUGUCAGAGGUGAAUCCAAAGUCGACUUGUUGUGAACAAUUAUUGUCAGGUAGCUCUCACUGAAAUCACGUAGCAUGAAAAUACACACUAAUUUGUCCACUCUAUGAGAAAUAACAAUAUUCUCAUACGUUUUGGUCAAUUCCUUAUCGGUACGAAACUCAGCAAAUGAUGAAAUGUUAUCUUUCUUGAGAAAAUGAUUCAACUGUUGGUCCUCAACUUUUGGCUUGCGAGGUGCUGGCUCAGAAGGUGUAGUUUAAGACUGUGUAAUUUCUAUUACGGAGAAGUAAAAGAAAGCGUAGUUUAAAAGAGGGGGAAUGUGGCUUCCAUCAUUGGUUGGUUAUCACAAACAAAGAUGAUUUUUAAAAAAUAAACGGACAGACUGAUUUUUACAGUCUUCAUUGUCAGGUCACAGUCAGACCAUGGCCUUCGUGAUAACAUGGCCCGACACCGCUGCGCGGGACGUCACGAUUCGCGGCAUUCGCUCUCUUGCAUACAAGCGUUCGGGCCUAGCGUUUCCCACUCUACGGCACAGUGGCUAGGCUGUAAAUUAUUAUUGCGUCAUAGUACUACAUUAUGUUGUGCUACACACUCAUGCAGAUAAAGAGUGUGGUGUGUUAAAGAGUCAGCUGUUAGUACAAUAUGCAUUACAACAUUCACUAUUCUAGUAGUUUCACGUUGUAGAGAGAGGGAAGAGAGAGAGAGAGAGUGUGUGGGGGUGGGGAGAGAGGGGUGAUUAAUUUGUGUUUUAGCAACAUUUAAAGAAAAUAUAAACUUACUUGCUGUAUAAUACUGUUGACUUGUGACCAUAAGAUGCUGUCCUUUCAACGUUGCUCCUACGUUCUCUUUGUGAACGUCUUAAGUUUCCUGCUCUUGUUUCCUGCUGUUGCUCUGUCUGUAAAGCCUUUAGAAUAGUUGUUCAGGAAAAUGUUGACAGCUGGUCUGCAGCACUUCAUCAAUAUUUCUGAGUAGUGAACUUCACAUUCGUCCCAGGGCUUUUGUGUCAUGCCAAGGUCGGUUAAACUCUGGAGGGACAAGCUGAGGACAAGCUUCCUUUAGUUACUGCAGGAGGGGAAUUGUUGCUCCUUUUCAACAGUGCCGAUGAGGGUCUGAAAUACCCUGAAGACUUGAGUGACAACUUCAAACAACUGCAAAGUCAGAAGGCCAUGUGAGACCACAUCUAUCAAGAGCUGACAAGUACGUGUGGCAAUCAUUUGUAACCUCCACACGCAGCUGACGUUCACAGUGAAGGUCACUUCUACAAUUGACACAGUCGAUCUGGCGUAAGGCUUUUGCUACACAGUAGCCAGAGACAAAAACAAGAGCCUUCAACUGCUCGGUGUUUAUAUCAAUGUCUUGGCAACAACCAAGUAUGUGUGAAAAAUUGUCUUACUCAGCCUCCGUUUGUGAAGCACUCUGUUGGCUUUUAAUUUCCUCGAGAGGCUCGAUGAUGUCUUUCAGACUGAGAGCACCAUUUGAGGCAGACAUCAAGUUGAGUACAGUCAACAGUUUGAGUUUCUUCUCGCCCUCAAGAAGCUGCUGUACUGACACAUGGUAGUUACUUCCACUCAUCUGCCGGUACUGGCUAAACCGAAAUUCCAGGUUGUCAGUUUGAAAUUUUCCCAGCAAGACGUAGUGGAAGUUUUUCUUCUCCAACAAAUAUUGGCAUAGCUGGAGAAAUGCGUCCAGAGUAUGUUUUAACGCUGUCAUGGUUUCAGAUGACAGUGUGCCUUGUCUUGGCUUCAACCCCAUCCUCUCCCACUCACAGAGCCACUCCCAGACGACUUGUAUCUGUUUGAAGUUUUCGUCAGAACAUGACGAGAUGGCUCGACAGUCUGCAUUCCUCAACUUGAUGUUCUUGUAUGGCUGCUUUACAUUCACUAUGUUCCACAGCCGAAUUACAGUAGUCAGGAACUGUCUUGUACCAUGAGUGUCGACUUGCCAACCAGGUCCAAAAUGUUCCAGAGCAGCAACGUUUCUUUGAUAAAAAAUUCUCAACAUAAGCUUCACGUUUUGCUUCUCUGUCACUGUUAAGGUUUAGGCUUUUGUAGUUGAGGGACGGAGCAAGUUUCACUGGAGACGAUUUUUCCUCUUCAAAAAGUCUCUGAAGGUGGGAGAAUGAUGCUUUCAUUGUUUCCCCUUGACCUUGCAAAUCUGGGAACGAGAAGGUUUUUUCCAUGUUGUUUUGUGCAAGCCAAUUGUUGCGGAGACAUUUGAAGAGGUGUACUGUGUCGGAAAAAAAGAAUAAAUUUUCGCCUUCCUUAAAGGGGUUUUCGAUUUGUGGUUUGAGCUCUCCUCCACACAAGGCAGUGAAAGCAUUCCUGUUGACUCUGUUGUUGUCUGAAAUGACAGAGACCACUGUAAACCCACUGCUGUGUAAGACACGUAGCACAUUUGUGAUCAUAACGUGUAGCCAGUUGGCGUUUGUGUUUUUUACUGGCACUAUAGCCACUACAUCCUUCUGUUUUGACACCAAGGAGGAAAUCAUGAACACUUGGGCUGUACUGGCCUCGGCGACACUGCUAUUUGUGGCUGACCCUUCCAGCUUGCCUUCCUUGUAUGACAAUUGGUGGGCAACAUGAAUUUCAUCUACCAUCAAGGUAACGUUUCUCUCGAUGUCUGUCAUGUUCUGGCAUUUUUUCUCCAAGUAGGCCUGCUGUAGAGCCCCAUCCUCAAACCCACUUUUGAUCUGGAAGGUAGAUGAGAGCCUUUUCAGAUAUGAGGGAUGUGGCAGAGUCAGAACAGUGUUCCUCAACGUUUGAGGAGCUGUAGCACAUACACGAAAAGCCCAAAGUAAUGUCUCACAGGAAUACUUUUUCACACUCGCGAAAUUCAGCUUUAUUUGUUCAGCUUGGAAGUCUACCUUCUCCUUGAGGGCUUGGGCUUUGUCGUCAUCAGCAUCGUCGCCUGCAAUGUCGUGAGCUAAUUCUUGCAUGGUGUCAACAAAGAAAUUGAGUUGCUGUUUCUUGUCUUUGUUUUCUCUAUUGUCACUUGCAUAGUGAGAUAGUAGACUAUCAAAUUGUGACCAUGAUAUCAGCAUAGGAGAGGACUGUUGCCCAAAAAGCCACUUCACUGAACUGUCUGGCACCCGCCCUGUGAAAUAUUGACAUAAUAUGGAUGAUUUAUAUCUUUCCAAUUAAAAUUAAUUUAAAAUGUAUUAUAAAAGAAAACUAUCCAUGGAGCCUAACUGGUUCCACUCGGACCUAUCAAGUUUUCUGUAUUUAUGCGAUGCUGCACUCUUAAAAGAUAUAAUCACCAAGAACAUAAUGGAAAUCUUACAUACAGGCAAGCAAAAAACGAAAAACUGUGGGCCAUAACUUAGGCCUCUGAUGUUGUUUGUAAACAGGAUACUAAACAUUACAUCCUGUACUAUACCUCAAAGAACAAUGUCAAAAGCGAUGGGACUGAAAUAAAUACUAGUAGGAGCACUGACCUAGUGCAUUUCGACGACAGUUUCAAAAAAUGUCUUAAACCUCUCUUAAAUUUUGUUUUAGAAUUAAAAUGUAACUUCCAUAUAUAUAUAUAACAGUCAACAUCAUGAAGUCAUCAUAUGAAAUGACCACGUAUGAUAAUACCAGGAUGAGGAUUUUUGUAACUGGCUAAUGUGUAUUCUUGAGCUUGAAAGAUAAACUGUACACGCAGUAUAUUAUUAUGGCAUGGCAUGGUAGUCAUGUGGACAUACGGGAACGCACAGGGGGGGUGGGGGUAGGAGAGAGAGAGAGAGAAAGGGGAGGGUAGACAUGAGAGAGGGACUUGGAAAACGCAUGAAGGCACACACACACACACACACACACACACACACACACACACACACACACACACACACACAA